rnacentral:lncRNA from 10 species
UAAUGAAUACGUGAAAGGAUGAAUGGCAACAUCAUUGCUUUCAGCCCUGUGUCACAGGAAUAGAGGAAUGUGUGAGAUAUAGACUGAGAACCAACCUUUCUCUGACACCCCUAAAUUCUAGGGGUUCUGUCUAACGAGAGAAUUCUUAGGCUUUGGAAGGGAUGCACGGAUAUCAAACAGUAUCAGUCACCUAAAUGCUCUUGCUACAACAAUUUCUUGUUUUCCACCUUGAUUUCCCAAUAUCAAAUGAAUCAGAGUCCAGAAUACCCUGUAUUAUUCCCAGGGAUUAUCAAAUGACAAUGUGAAAAGGGGGAGUGUUAGCAGGUCCCUCUACCCUUCCUCUCUGUGAUCAUGGUCUCUCAAAAAGGUGAUGUAAACUGGAGGCAGUAGUGGAUUUUGAUGGGCUCUACAAUUUAUUUUCAUCUAUCAACCACUGCCAAGGUGGGAACCCUACUAUUUCCCAGGGAAACAGUGAUUGCAGAAAUACUGACUGGCAGAGUGAGGUGGAACUAUGAGAAUCUGAUAGCACUGAUUUAUUUACAGUGUUCUGUGACUAGGCCAGGGAAAAAGUAACCUGAGAAAUUUUCAAACAUACAUACUUGGAUUUACAUAUUUACAGAACACUUUAUACUCUUUUGCAUUUUUCACCCAGUGAGGCCAAUCUUAAUCUGAUGCCAAUCUUAUCGCCAUCUAGGUUGUCCUGUUAGUGCUGUUUAACAUCUUUAACAAAUUAGGACCGUAUCUAAUUUGUUAUAUUACUGUGUCAUUAAAAUAUGACAGUGGUUUGGAGUCUUAGGUGAUCUCUAUCCUUCUCUGACUAUGACCCUAAUGCUGCUUGGUUUUCUUUCGAAUGUGUGGAGAUAAAAUUUACUUUUGAGAUAAAAACGAACAGAUGUUCACUUUUCAUUAUAUUUGAGAGUCACUAACCAAAAUUUUCCUCACUGUCCUUGUACUUUUGUUUUAAUAUUUGCUUUCUUUUUUUCGGCUGUUUAUUUGGUUUUUACAAGCCUCUUUUCUACUUUUAAAGUUUGCUAAUUUCAAAAAUCUAUUUGUACAAUUCUUGAAUUUUAUUUUCCUCCUACUUAACUGCUCAAUCAUACAGGCAGUAUAUAUAUUGUUGGUGAAAUAAAAGGAAGGAUUUAGAAACAGGGAAUACUAUACUUUGCAGCAAAAACAUAAUAGAUCUUUUCCUCUAUCAUAAAUGUAUGUUAAAAUAUUUAAAUAUAAAGUCAAAGUUUUUCUUCUAUAAGUAGAAGCCCAACUUGUCCAGCUUUGCCUUUUUUCAUUCUAUUUCAAUAGAUGGUUUGAGAUUAUAUGAAAAUAUCCAGACUUGCUUUCAUUCUUGUUUUUCUCACAGAAGAAAAAAUACAGUGCAAUUUGACAAAGGUGAGGUUGGAAUUUGGCAGAUAUUGAGCCAGAUUCUCAGUUGUCUAUUUGGUUUAGUUCAUCAAUUUUGUACAAAUAUUAAUAUAAAGCUACAUCUUCUUCCUACAGAGUCAUGGACCUCAGGUAGGCCACGGAGAAGCUGACAGCCCGGUGUGCCCCUUCUUAUCAACUGCCUGUUUGUACACUGUGCCUGGAAUUGCUCAUUCUGGGAGAGACUGCUGUGUAUUGGAGCAGGAGUCCUCCCACAAUGGCAGGUUGUUUCAUUUUCCCUCUUUUUCUGCUUUGUUCCUGCCAUUUAAAGGAUUUUUGUUUGUUUUUUCCAUUGCAACAUUUGUGGUGAGCUUUUGAUUAGGCUGAAGGCUAACACAGCUAACGCUAACAAUUUAAAUGGGAUAACUCUCAGGGAACCUGUAUAGCUCUGUCCUUCUCCCCUUCCUCCCCCUCACCAUCAAUACCAACAACAGCCACUUUGCAAACCACAUGCACCUUGCAAACCUUUUACAGAAGCAGAUUCUUCCCUGACUAGGAGCUGAAAAUAUAUGGAAGUCCAAGAUCUUGGAAUUUCUGACAAGUCAACUGUGAAUGGAAUAAUUCUUCCCCAUCUGUUCCUUUUCGGAGACAAAUUGACCCUGAAAGCAUGGUGAUUGAAGCUCUUUAACUUCUCUGCGAUGGGGUCUUAACAGACAAUGAUCUGUAAAAAGAGGGGGUGAUGGUGAUAUUUAUUUUGAUGAUUGCUAACUAGCUCCUGCUUUGCGGUCUUUCAUUCGAUUGCAUGUCUGUCAUCUCUUCUAAAUCUCACCAGCACUCCAUAGUGCAGUCAGGCCUGCCUUAGAGGAUUUGUUAAAAGUUCAGAGGCAUUAAUUGCCCAAAGUUUCACCAGAUGGUACUCCCCUGUCAAUUAGGUGUGAUGUUCCUGAUAUAUCUGAUAUUAUCUUUAUUGAACAAAAAAUAGUUGGCUUGAACUAUUGACAAAACCUAUACUUCCACCCAGGCUUGAGGUCACUGACUAGAAAGUCUAGAUGAAGGAUGAGAACUCUAGCUGCAUUUUUUUUUUUAGACGGAGUUUCGCUCUUGUCACCCAGUCUGGAGUGCAAUGGCGCGAUCUAGGCUAACUGCAAUUAGUUGCAUAAUUGUAAAAGCUGGUAUGAGAUAUUCCAACUUUGAGCUCAAAAUCCAUUUAGAACAUCUGCCAUGUGAAAUCCCACCUGUAGUUUUGGCCAUAAGCUAUUUUUAUUGUUAAUUAUGACUUUAGGUUUACACUGAAUUAUUUUAUGUUGAUGUGCUACAGUUGCAGGACUUUUUCUUAGUUCAGCUAAAGAUGGGGUUCUUUGUCCCAUGGCCACGAAAAUUCAGGCUGGCAGACAAUUUUUAUGGUGAGUAAGACAGGGUUUUAUUGGGUGAAAAGGAAGAAAAGGGGGAAACAAGGACACCCCACAAGGCCAGAGGCCCUGUUAGCGUGCUUCCCACCCAGGUAUCUCAGGUUCCACACAGGAAGAAUAGGGGCCAGGUUCCUCUCUGCUGCCAAUGGGCAAACUCCCCAAGGCUCCACCCCAGUGCGCAGGCUGGCUGGAGUUUUUCUGGGGACCCCUUCACACCUGACUCUCUCACUACUAUUUCCUAAUAAUGGGAGGCUGGGCAUGGUGGCUCAUGCCUGUAAUUCCAGCACUUUGGGAGGCCGAGGUGGGCAGAUCACCUGAGGUUGGGAGUUUGAUACCAGCCUGACCAACAUGGAGAAACCCUGUCUCUAUUAAAAAUACAAAAUUAGCUGGGCAUGGUGGCACAUGCCUGUAGUCCCAGCUACUGGGGAGGCUGAGGCAGGAGAAUCGCUUGAACCGGGAGGCAGAGGUUGCAGCAGGCUGAGAUCAUGCUAUUGCACUCCAGUCUGAGCAACAAGAGCAAAACGCCGUCUCAAUAAAUAAAUAAAUAAAUACAUAAAUAAAUAAAUAAAUAAAUAAAUAAAGGGAGACUACUGGCCUGGCACUAAAAUGUUCAGGACGUUUUAAGUAUUGAAAUAAUGCUAAGGCAGGGCACGAUGGCUCAUGCCUGUGAUUCUAGCAUUUUGGGAGGCCAAGGCAGGUAGAUCACCAGAGGUCAGGAGUUCCAGACCAGCCUGGCCAACAUGGUGAAACACCAUCUCUACUAAUAAUACAAAAAUUAGCCAGCCAUGGUGGUACACGCCUGCAGUCCCAGCUGCUUAGGAGGCUGAGGCACGAGAAUUGCUUGAACCCAGCAGGCAGAGGUUGCAGUGAGCUGAGAUCAUGCCACUGCACUCCCUCCUGGGCAACAGAGUGAGACUUGGUCUCAAAAAUAAAUAAUAACAACAAAAUGAAAUGAAAUAAAAUAAAAUAAUGCUAAAAUGAAGAAAAAUAGUAGUAAUAAUAAUUCCCAGCCCCUUCUGAGUGUUUACUAGGUGUCAAGAGCUUUAAAAUCUUUCAACAGCCCUGAGAAGCAGACUCUACUAGCAUCCCCCUCAUUUUAUAGAGGAAAACACUGAGGCUUAGAGUUUAAGUUACCUAAGAUUUAAGGCUUUGAGACAUUAAAAUAGUAAAUUACUCAAGACUACCUGUUGAUGGGUGAUGGAAUCACAAUUUAAUAUAGGCAUUUUGACUCCAGUGACAGCAGGGUUCAUCACUCCACUAGGCUAGUUCUCUAGGCUUUAUACCCAGAAGACCAGCGGAAACAUACUUAAGAAUAGUACAAAGAGCAUGUGGAGAUUCACACAUCUGUGUGUGAGCAUGUGUGUAAGUGUGUAAGAAACUAUCCUCAGAGUGUGUGGCUGAGACUAUGCAACAGUGACCCAUCUUUGCUUCCCUAUUGUGCUUGCAGAUCUACGACAAAUUCAUCUGGAUUUUCAGCAGAUUUGGUGGUCUUUGGAGGAAUUUCUCUGAGCUUAGCCUAGCUUUCUGUCCCAAACACAACAUUUUCAGUUCUGCAUGUUAGGUUUCAUGUGACAUGUUUGUGCUACUAAAAUAAACUCCCUCUUAAAUAUGAAUCCAAAUUUCUUGCCAAUAUAUUUUAGUAUAAUAUGGAAUUAAUGACAUUUCUAAUUUGCUCAUCAGUAUACUUUAGAAUGAUGUGGAAUCAGUAAUAGAUAAUAUAUCAUAUAUAUGUGCAUAUAUAUAUAUAUCUAAACAUUAAUCUAUUUAUCUGUCUAUACAUAUACUGUGUAUAUAUAUACACGCACACACACACAUAUAUAUAUAUAUAUAUACACACACACAUAUAUAUGUACAUAAAGUGUUAUUUGGGAGGACAGUAUACAAAAAUGCUAUUGAAAGCCAUCUGCGCUGUGAAAGCCAAUGUGUGUGUGUAGCUAUGUGUGUAGUCAUCUUCUAAGAUAUAAGGUGUUUUAAGACUAUAUGUUAUGAAAAAGACUUUUUUCUCAAAAAUGAUCUUAAUUUGGAAAACAGGAUGGUAAAAGUAACUUUAACAUAUUAUUAGACAUGAAAAUUUAAUUAAGACAUUAGUUCUCUACCUAAUGUUUUGUGUGUAUGUAUAUCUAUCUUAGCAUAUUUAUGGCAUAAGUUACAGCUAAGGACAAAGGAUGAAAAAUGCUAAAUUACCCUCUCUUUGUUCCUCAUUUGCCAAGCAAAUGAAUGAAAAUGUAUAUCUCUGUCAUUUGGCUUAAGAAUCCCCCCUAAGAAUUUAACCAAAUAAAUGAUUUUAAAACUGUGUAGAAAUACAAAU